GGGCGUUUAGCUCAGUUGGUUAGAGCGCUACCUUCACACGGUAGAAGUCACUGGUUCGAAUCCAGUAACGCCCACCA
rnacentral:tRNA from 1 species